rfam:Roseburia sp. CAG:197 genomic scaffold, scf252
AAAUUUCAAAGGCAAAGUUGCAGAAAUGUAAUGGCGCAAAGCUAGAAGUCUACGGUACAAUUUAUGUUACUAAGAUAGUUCGGUUGCAAUG